UGAUGUGAAAGCCCACGGCUCAACCGUGGAGGGUCAUUGGAAACUGGGGAACUUGAGUGCAGAAGAGGAAAGUGGAAUUCCAAGUGUAGCGGUGAAAUGCGUAGAGAUUUGGAGGAACACCAGUGGCGAAGGCGACUUUCUGGUCUGUAACUGACACUGAGGCGCGAAAGCGUGGGGAGCGAACAGGAUUAGAUACCCUGGUAGUCCACGCCGUAAACGAUGAGUGCUAAGUGUUAGAGGGUUUCCGCCCUUUAGUGCUGCAGCAAACGCAUUAAGCACUCCGCCUGGGGAGUACGACCGCAAGGUUGAAACUCAAAGGAAUUGACGGGGGCCCGCACAAGCGGUGGAGCAUGUGGUUUAAUUCGAAGCAACGCGAAGAACCUUACCAGGUCUUGACAUCCUCUGACAAUCCUAGAGAUAGGACUUUCCCCUUUUAGGGGACAGAGUGACAGGUGGUGCAUGGUUGUCGUCAGCUCGUGUCGUGAGAUGUUGGGUUAAGUCCCGCAACGAGCGCAACCCUUGAUCUUAGUUGCCAGCAUUCAGUUGGGCACUCUAAGGUGACUGCCGGUGACAAACCGGAGGAGGGUGGGGAUGACGUCAAAUCAUCAUGCCCCUUAUGACCUGGGCUACACACGUGCUACAAUGGAUGGUACAAAGGGCUGCAAGACCGCGAGGUUUAGCCAAUCCCAUAAAACCAUUCUCAGUUCGGAUUGCAGGCUGCAAC
rnacentral:rRNA from 1 species